UGCUCAGCAACUCCUAUCCCUACCUCCGCGUGGUACCGGCUGUAAACUACGAGCAACUUUAGGGAAAAUCGGGUAACCAACUCCGGUGGGAACUUUGGUCGUAGGCUGACAGGAAAGG
rfam:Aedes albopictus isolate Foshan contig112459, whole genome shotgun sequence.